rnacentral:rRNA from 2 species
UACGAAGGGGGCUAGCGUUGUUCGGAAUCACUGGGCGUAAAGCGCGCGUAGGCGGAUUGUUAAGUCGGGGGUGAAAUCCCGAGGCUCAACCUCGGAACUGCCUUCGAUACUGGCGAUCUUGAGUCCGGGAGAGGUGAGUGGAACUCCUAGUGUAGAGGUGAAAUUCGUAGAUAUUAGGAAGAACACCAGUGGCGAAGGCGGCUCACUGGCCCGGUACUGACGCUGAUGUGCGAAAGCGUGGGGAGCAAACAGG